UCCUGGCUCAGAUUGAACGCUGGCGGCAUGCCUUACACAUGCAAGUCGAACGGUAACGCGGGGCAACCUGGCGACGAGUGGCGAACGGGUGAGUAAUGCAUCGGAACGUGCCCAGUAGUGGGGGAUAGCCCGGCGAAAGCCGGAUUAAUACCGCAUACGACCUGAGGGUGAAAGGGGGGGAUCGCAAGACCUCUCGCUAUUGGAGCGGCCGAUGUCAGAUUAGGUAGUUGGUGGGGUAAAGGCCUACCAAGCCGACGAUCUGUAGCUGGUCUGAGAGGACGACCAGCCACACUGGGACUGAGACACGGCCCAGACUCCUACGGGAGGCAGCAGUGGGGAAUUUUGGACAAUGGGCGCAAGCCUGAUCCAGCCAUGCCGCGUGCGGGAAGAAGGCCUUCGGGUUGUAAACCGCUUUUGUCAGGGAAGAAAUCUUCUGAGUUAAUACCUCGGGAGGAUGACGGUACCUGAAGAAUAAGCACCGGCUAACUACGUGCCAGCAGCCGCGGUAAUACGUAGGGUGC
rnacentral:rRNA from 1 species